UUGAACGCUGGCGGCAUGCUUUACACAUGCAAGUCGAACGGUAACAGGGAGCUUGCUCCGCUGACGAGUGGCGAACGGGUGAGUAAUGCAUCGGAACGUACCCAGUCGUGGGGGAUAACGUAGCGAAAGUUACGCUAAUACCGCAUACGUCCUGAGGGAGAAAGCGGGGGACCGUAAGGCCUCGCGCGAUUGGAGCGGCCGAUGUCGGAUUAGCUAGUUGGUGGGGUAAAGGCCUACCAAGGCGACGAUCCGUAGCUGGUCUGAGAGGACGACCAGCCACACUGGAACUGAGACACGGUCCAGACUCCUACGGGAGGCAGCAGUGGGGAAUUUUGGACAAUGGGGGCAACCCUGAUCCAGCCAUUCCGCGUGAGUGAAGAAGGCCUUCGGGUUGUAAAGCUCUUUCGGCAGGAACGAAACGGUGGAGGCUAAUACCUUUCAUCAAUGACGGUACCUGAAGAAGAAGCACCGGCUAACUACGU
rnacentral:rRNA from 1 species